AGCGAGCAUUAUUCGGAAUGAUUAGGCGUAAAGAGUUUGUAGGUGGUUUUUUAAGUUGAAAGAAACAAAUUAAAGCUCAACUUUAUACAUUUUUUCAAAACUGAUAAACUAGAGUAUAAAUAGAGGAUAAUGGAAUUUCUAUUGGAGUGAUAAAAUACGUUGAUAAUAGAAGGAAGGCCUAUGGCGAAGGCAAUUAUCUGGGUAUAUACUGACACUGAGAAACGAAAGCUUGGGUAGCGAACGGGAUUAGAUACCCCGGUAGUCCAUGCCGUAAACGAUGAGUGCUAAUAUUUAGAAUUUUUAGAUAUAACAGCUAACGCGUUAAGCACUCCGCCUGAAAAGUAUAAUCGCAAGAUUGAAAUUCAAAGGAAUUGACGGGAGUCUACACAAGCGGUGGAGCAUGUGGUUUAAUUCGAUAAUACGCGCAAAACCUUACCAACUCUUGCUAAUUUUUAUAUAAAAUUUUAUAUAAAAAACAGGUGUUGCAUGGCUGUCGUCAGCUCGUGUUGUGAAAUGUUUGGUUAAAUCCUUUAACGAGCGCAACCCCUAUUGUUAGUUGCUAAUUUAUUAAAAUAAAAUAAAAGAACUUUAACAAAAAGAUUAAUGAUAGGUUAAUGGAAGAUGGGGAUGACGUCAAGUCUUUAUGGCCCUUAUGAGUUGGGCUACACACGUGCUACAAUGAUAAUCACAAUGAGAAGCAAUAAUGUUAAGUUGGAGCAAAUCUUUAAAAAUUAUCUUAGUUCGGAUUAAGGGCUGAAACUCGCCCUUAUGAAGUUGGAAUCGCUAGUAAUCGCAAAACAGCAUGUUGCGGUGAAUAUGUUACUGGACUUUGUACACACCGCCCGUCACAUCAGGGAAGUUAAUUAUUUUUAAAAUGAUUUUAAUGUAUUUAAUAAUUUUAAAUAACUAUUUAAUUAAAAUAAUUUAUAAUUUAAUUUAAAUAAAUUAAAAUACUUAGAAAGUAAUUAGUAACUUUGAUGAAGUCGUAACAAGGUAGUCGUAGGGGAACCUGUGUCUG
rnacentral:rRNA from 1 species